rnacentral:rRNA from 1 species
GACGAACCGUGCGAACGUUAUUCGGAAUCACUGGGCUUAAAGGGCGCGUAGGCGGCUCGCCAGUCAGGGGUGAAAGCCUCCAGCUCAACUGGAGAAGUGCCUUUGAUACUGCGAGUCUCGAGGGAGGUAGGGGCGUGCGGAACUUCCGGUGGAGCGGUGAAAUGCGUAGAUAUCAGGAGGAACACCAACGGCGAAGGCAGCUCUCUGGGACGUUACUGACGCUGAGACGCGAAAGCGUGGGGAGCAAACAGG